GACGUAGGAGGCGAGCGUUGUCCGGAGUUCUGGGCGUAAAGCGCGCGCAGGCGGCCCUGUGCGCUGCCGGUGAAAGCUCCCGGCUUACCUGGGAGAGGUUCGGCAGGACGGCAGGGCUGGAGGGUGGGAGAGGUCGGUGGAAUUCCCGGUGUAGUGGUGAAAUGCGUAGAGAUCGGGAGGAACACCCGUAGCGAAGGCGGCCGACUGGACCACACCUGACGCUGAGGCGCGAAGGCCAGGGGAGCGAACGGG
rnacentral:rRNA from 1 species